ACCGGGGAAAAUCCCCGCGCGUUUGAGCAGAGAGUGCUGGGCGGAAACGUCGCUCCCUUUCUCUCCGGAAGUUC
rnacentral:RNase_MRP_RNA from 1 species